GGGCUAGUAGCGUAGUGGUUAUCGCGUUCGCUUUGCAUCUGCAUAUUGGGUUCCUUUGCGAAAGGUCUCCGGUUCAAAUCCGGACUAGUCCA
rfam:Gymnopus luxurians FD-317 M1 unplaced genomic scaffold GYMLTscaffold_33, whole genome shotgun sequence.